rnacentral:rRNA from 1 species
AACGCUGGCGGCGUGCCUAAUACAUGCAAGUCGAGCGAACAGAUAAGGAGCUUGCUCCUUUGACGUUAGCGGCGGACGGGUGAGUAACACGUGGGUAACCUACCUAUAAGACUGGAAUAACUCCGGGAAACCGGGGCUAAUGCCGGAUAACAUUUAGAACCGCAUGGUUCUAAAGUGAAAGAUGGUUUUACUAUCACUUAUAGAUGGACCCGCGCCGUAUUAGCUAGUUGGUAAGGUAACGGCUUACCAAGGCAACGAUACGUAGCCGACCUGAGAGGGUGAUCGGCCACACUGGAACUGAGACACGGUCCAGACUCCUACGGGAGGCAGCAGUAGGGAAUCUUCCGCAAUGGGCGAAAGCCUGACGGAGCAACGCCGCGUGAGUGAUGAAGGUCUUCGGAUCGUAAAACUCUGUUAUUAGGGAAGAACAAAUGUGUAAGUAACUGUGCACGUCUUGACGGUACCUAAUCAGAAAGCCACGGCUAACUACGUG